ensembl:rRNA 5S_rRNA 5S ribosomal RNA
GCUUACAGUCAUUCUGGACUGAAUGUAUCCUUUCUUAUCUGAUCUUGGAAGCUAAGCAGUCAUCUCAGUCCUGGCUUGUCCUUGGAUGGGAGACAAGAUGGGGAUCCUGGGUGCAAUAGGAA